ensembl:Y_RNA Y_RNA Y RNA
GGCUGGUCCAAAUGCAGUGGUGUGUACAACUAAUUGAUCAUAAUGAGCUACAGAUUUUUUUAUUCCUUCUCCACUUCUACUGCUUCCCUUGAUUUGCCUUUA